rnacentral:rRNA from 1 species
UACGAAGGGGGCUAGCGUUGCUCGGAAUCACUGGGCGUAAAGGGUGCGUAGGCGGGUCUUAAGUCAGGGGUGAAAUCCUGGAGCUCAACUCCAGAACUGCCUUUGAUACUGAAGAUCUUGAGUCCGGAAGAGGUGAGUGGAACUCCUAGUGUAGAGGUGGAAUUCGUAGAUAUUAGGAAGAACACCAGUGGCGAAGGCGGCUCACUGGUCCGGUACUGACGCUGAGGUGCGAAAGCGUGGGGAGCAAACAGGG